GACCAUCAUUGCCACUUUCUCUCUUUAUUUUCAUUCAAUUUGUAACCAUUUGGCAAUUAUAUAAGCUCUAGACUUUGAUGUUAGAUUAAUUGGAUGAAGUCCUAACACUUAAAAAGUUUCCUUUGACAUUCUUAGUUUGUAAUAAGCCUGAGACCCUCUAAAUUAUAUAUAGGGCGCAACAUAUGAAUAAGGAAGAAGAAUUUUGAUAAAAAAGCUUACUUUGUGUGAAUUUGAGAGCAUUGCUCUUUUGGUUAUCAAUUUGACCAACAUUUGAUCUUAUCAAGAAACCAAGUUUCUUACGGUGAUCUUCACUUGGCUUAUCAUCUUUUCUAAUCAAUAGAAAGACUGUGGCGCCCCAUUUCUCAUAUUUUCCACCAAUUUCUUUCAUUUUAUGUGUAUUCUUAUGAGCAAGGAUUUUGUGAGUUUCAAAUAUAUGGUUAAGUUCUCAAAUAGUUAACCAUCAAUAAAAAUCUAUUAAAACCAAUUUAAGUUAUGCAUCUUUUAGUGGUACUAUUGUUAUCUCUAAAUCUCUUAUCCUUCACAAUAUUCUAUUUAUACCUUUGUUCAAUUUCAAUAUUAUGUCUGUUAGCACUUUAACUGCUUCUGAUCCAUGUACUCUAAAUUUUAUUGAUGAUUCAUGACUUGAUUAGUUUGAGGAUUACUGUAGUACCACCAUUCACAAUGAUCUUUAUGAGCUGAUCAUUCCUUUAUCUAGAAAGUUUAAUCAUGAUACUGUGGUUGUUAAUGUUGCUUCCGAUAUCCCCUUUUUCAUUUAGAUGAUAUUUGAUAUUUAAGAUUGCGUCACCCAUGUAUCACUUCUUUUUCUAAUGUCAAUAAAAUUUACUCUUUUGAGUUACCCGUACAUUCCUAUACAUGUAAUAUUUGUCAUUUUUCAAAGCAAAGAAAACUUCAUUUUUCACAUAGUUCACGUAAGCAAACUCAAUUCACGUAAGCAAACUCUGUUCACGUAUGCAACCUCAGUUCACGAAUGUUUUUGGGCAAAUUCAGUUUGCGAAUAAGAACAAAAACAAGAACAAAAUGACGCAAACCUGAUGUAAAUGGAAGCUAAUGAAGAUGAUUGAAGAUGUUGAAGUUAUUGAAAAUAGAGGAAGAAUGACAAAAAGGUGUGAGAAAAAAUAAUGAAUAUGAGUGUGAAGUAGAAGAUGAAGAUAGAAAUAGAGGUUAAGGUUGAACAUAAAGAUAGAAAGAGAA
rnacentral:lncRNA from 1 species